rnacentral:rRNA from 1 species
UACGGAGGGCGCAAGCGUUAAUCGGAAUCACUGGGCGUAAAGCGUGCGUAGGCUGUUUGAUAAGUCAGGCGUGAAAUCCCUCGGCUCAACCGGGGAACUGCGCUUGAUACUGUCGAACUCGAGUCCUGGAGAGGGUGGCGGAAUUCCUGGUGUAGGAGUGAAAUCCGUAGAUAUCAGGAGGAACACCGGUGGCGAAGGCGGCCACCUGGACAGGUACUGACGCUGAGGCACGAAAGCGUGGGGAGCAAACAGG